rnacentral:rRNA from 1 species
UUUCUGCUCAAUGAUAUUAUUAAAUAGCCGCAGUAAUUUGACUGUGCAAAGGUAGCAUAAUCAUUUGACCUAUAAUUGAGGUCUAGUAUGAAGGAGUCUAUGGGGGCUAGCUGUGUCUAAGGUGGUGUCUAAAAUUUCUUAGUGGGUGAAAAUUCCCACAUAAAAAUAAUAGACGAGAAGACCCUAAAAAUUUUGAGGACUGUAAAAGUAUUGUUUUUGUUGGGGCGACAUAGUAGCAUAUAACCUACUAUAAUUAUAUAAGAUUAUAAUAUUAAGAAAAAUUAAAUUACUCUAGGGAUAACAGCAUAAUAUUUUAAAGUUUGUGACCUCGAUGUUGGACUAGGGACUUAUAGCCCAGAAGGCUAAUAAAUAAGCUCUGUUCGAGCAGAAAUCCCUACGUGAUCUGAGUUCAGACCGG